rnacentral:rRNA from 1 species
AUUGAACGCUGGCGGCAUGCCUUACACAUGCAAGUCGAACGGUAACAGGCCGCAAGGUGCUGACGAGUGGCGAACGGGUGAGUAAUGCAUCGGAACGUGCCCAGUAGUGGGGGAUAGCCCGGCGAAAGCCGGAUUAAUACCGCAUACGACCUGAGGGUGAAAGGGGGGGAGCGCCAGACCUCUCGCUACUAGAGCGGCCGGUGGGAGAUUAGGUAGUUGGUGGGAUAAAAGCUUACCAAGCCGACGAUCUGUAGCUGGUCUGAGAGGACGAUCAGCCACACUGGGACUGAGACACGGCCCAGACUCCUACGGGAGGCAGCAGUGGGGAAUUUUGGACAAUGGGCGCAAGCCUGAUCCAGCAAUGCCGCGUGCAGGAUGAAGGCCUUCGGGUUGUAAACUGCUUUUGUACGGAACGAAAAGCCCUGGGUUAAUACCCUGGGGUCAUGACGGUACCGUAAGAAUAAGCACCGGCUAACUACGUGCCAGCCGCCGCAGUAAGAC